AUUAUUUCUGUAUUGUUUAGUAAAUCAAAACGUCACCUCUAGAAAGGCGUGUAUAGAAAACUGUGAAAUCAUUUUACCUGCGUGCAGGAAUCAUUGCACAAAUAAUUGUAUUGAGAAGUAUAAUGAAACUUCAAAAAAUAAAUCAAAAGAACUUAUACAA